UUUCCGCGAAAAAUUAUAUUCGGCCCUCACAGUAGCCCCAGAGGGUCGUAAGCGAUGGUAUUAAACCCUUCGACAAAAAAUUUUGCGAGUUUAUGACAGCCGAUGACAGCGCCGUGACUAACGUCACUUUGAUAUCACAAGAUGGCGGCCACCGUUUGAUCGUACGAAAAUCGGAAAUUUUCAACUUUAUGUGCACCCAUUUGUGUAAAUCACGCUAGCGGAGGCCGUUUUACAUCGUAUUCUUUGGUUUUGUGAAGAUUUGGUAUAGUUUUUUUCCCAAGAAAAAAAUUACGUUCAACACCGGUCCCAUGGGCUUAUGUUAUAGGUCGGGGCCCCACGUAUGCUUUGUGAUCUGGAUUGUCAGUGAAAUACAUUCUUCUAACUUAACAUAUGGACAGGUAAAUAACACUUACAAAUCUGCAAGAUUCCUAAACUGUCAAGUAAAAUAAACCUGUAAAUUGAGAAAAGCCAGUUCCAAGUUUACUCAGAAGACAAAUAUUUGGCCUGGGGGCGUUUUGCAAAAACCCUUUCGACAGUUUUCCAGUUGAAACUAGGCUGUAGAUGAAUGUAAAUAUAGUGCACAGUGUGGAAGUUUUGUUUAGUUGGUUUAUAAGAAUCCACCACUACAUUCCUACACUCUUGCUGUUUUAACGACGACCCCUGGAAACCACCAGUGAAUAAAGGAUUUAAAUAAAACAUCUUUGUUGGUCUUUAACUAUACGUUACAUAUACUAUAAAAUGUGACAUUAUGCAUAAAA